rnacentral:rRNA from 1 species
UACAGAGGGGGCGAGCGUUGUUCGGAAUUACUGGGCGUAAAGGGCGCGUAGGCGGCCUUCUAAGUCGAACGUGAAAUCCCCGGGCUCAACCCGGGAACUGCGUCCGAUACUGGAAGGCUUGAAUCCGGGAGAGGGAUGUGGAAUUCCAGGUGUAGCGGUGAAAUGCGUAGAUAUCUGGAGGAACACCGGUGGCGAAGGCGACAUCCUGGACCGGUAUUGACGCUGAUGCGCGAAAGCGUGGGGAGCAAACAGG